rnacentral:tRNA from 1 species
UUGGUAGAAGCCAAAGAGAGGCAUAUCACUGUUAAUGAUACUAUUGAAGUUUUUUCCUAUCAAG